rnacentral:rRNA from 1 species
UGGGGAAUAUUGGACAAUGGGCGCAAGCCUGAUCCAGCCAUGCCGCGUGAGUGAUGAAGGCCCUAGGGUUGUAAAGCUCUUUCGCCAGGGACGAUAAUGACGGUACCUGGAUAAGAAGCCCCGGCUAACUUCGUGCCAGCAGCCGCGGUAAUACGAAGGGGGCUAGCGUUGUUCGGAAUCACUGGGCGUAAAGCGCACGUAGGCGGAUCUUUAAGUCAGGGGUGAAAUCCCGAGGCUCAACCUCGGAACUGCCUUUGAUACUGGAGGUCUCGAGUCCGGGAGAGGUGAGUGGAACUGCGAGUGUAGAGGUGAGAUUCGUAGAUAUUCGCAAGAACACCAGUGGCGAAGGCGGCUCACUGGCCCGGUACUGACGCUGAGGUGCGAAAGCGUGGGGAGCAAAACAGGAUUAGAUACCCUGGUAGUCCACGCCGUAAAACUAUGGAUGCUAGCCGUUGGGCAGCUUGCUGUUCAGUGGCGCAGCUAACGCUUUAAGCAUCCCGCCUGGGGGAGUACGGUCGCAAGAUUAAAAACUCAAAGGAAUUGAC